rnacentral:rRNA from 1 species
CACCGCGGUUAAACGAGAGGCCCCAGUUGAUAUUAAUACGGCGUAAAGGGUGGUUAAGGAAAAUAAAUUAAUAAAGCCAAAUGGCCCUUUGGCUGUCAUACGCUCCUAGGUGUCCGAGGCCCAAUCACACGAAAGUAGCUUUAAAACCCGCCUGACCCCACGAAAGCUGAGAAA